AGGAUUGAACAAGUGCUCUGGUUUGCCGGGGACUGAGGGCAUUCAUGGGACACGUGACUUUCAGUAUUGAAACUGGACUG
rnacentral:miRNA from 1 species